CCUACGGGCGGCAGCAGUGGGGGAUAUUGCACAAUGGGGGAAACCCUGAUGCAGCGACGCCGCGUGGAGGAUGAAGGUUUUCGGAUUGUUAACUCCUUUUGUUAGAGAAGAUAAUGACGGUAUCUAACGAAUAAGCACCGGCUAACCCCGUGCCAGCAGCCGCGGUAAUACGGAGGGUGCAAGCGUUACUCGGAAUCACUGGGCGUAAAGAGCGCGUAGGCGGGAUAGCAAGUCAGAUGUGAAAUCCUAUGGCUUAACCAUAGAACUGCAUUUGAAACUGGUAUUCUAGAGUAUGGGGGAGGUAGGUGGAAUUCUUGGUGUAGGGGUAAAAUCCGUAGAGAUCAAGAGGAAUACUCAUUGCGAAGGCGACCUGCUAGAGCAUAACUGACGCUGAUGCGCGAAGGCGUGGGGAGCAAACAGGAUUAGAUACCCCAGUAGUC
rnacentral:rRNA from 1 species